rnacentral:tRNA from 1 species
UCUCACGACUGUGGUUCGAGACAGAAGAUUUCCUUGGUAAGGAAAAGGUCCCCGGUUCGAAUCCGGGCGUGGGCUCCA